GGAACGGAUUUACUCCUGAACUUAAAUAAAAAAUUGUGUAUAUAUUCUCCAUUAUACUAUGCGCAUACGUAUAUCCUUACAGUUCAAUUAGUCGUAUAUAUAUAACCUUGUCACUAACGGACCCAUAUUUUAUAACACGUGUCAUGAUCCUAAUACUAUCCGUUUCAUCCCUUUUUUAACCUAUAACCAUAACCCAUUAAAAGAAGGGAUCCCUUAAAAGAAUCCUAAACACACACACCCUAAUCUAAACACCUAAAGAAAAAUCCGCCGUCUUCGUCUGAUUCAAGCUCGUCUUCGUCGCGAUGAUCAUAAUUUCAAAUUUCAUCUAUCAUGUGUUGGUCAUAAUUUUCUAUUUCAUCUAUCUAUCGUCUCCUUCAAUUCAGACCUAAAAUCAUGUCUGAAAGUUCAUGUGGUUCAAUUAGUAACUCCAUGACGAUGACUUGUUUUUGUGGUGAAUUGGCUCGUUGUUUCACUUCAAGGACUCCAUUGAACCCGAAAGAAGAUUUUAUAGAUGUUCUAAGCCUAAGAUUGAAAAUUGUGGAUUUUGGAGGUGGGAAGACAGUUCUUCAGAAAAUUCUUCUAUUGAAGCUAAUUUAUUGAAGUCUAAAUUGCAAGUUUCUACGUUGAAAAUGGAGAAUUUGAGAGAGUCCUUGAAUGCGGUUAAGAUUGAAAGAGACAAUUUGAAGAAGAAAUUGGAGAAUUUAGAGAGUUUAAACUACUUCGAGGUGAAUAAAUCAAGAAAUUUGAAAGCUAAAGUGUCGAAGUUGAAGAUGUUGUUCAUAUUGACAUUUACUGUGUUUGUGGUAUUUGUUGUUGCAAUUUUCAAGUAUUAUUCAUUUCAAUUGUUUCUUAUGUAUUAGUGAUAGUGAAUCUUAUGUUUGAAUGUUGAUCAUUAUUUUCAAGUGUUGCUUCAAACUUAUUGUAAAUUUCAAGUGUUGGAUUUGAAACAUUAUUUUG